GACGAAGGGGGCUAGCGUUGUUCGGAAUUACUGGGCGUAAAGCGCGCGUAGGCGGUUCUUCAAGUCAGGCGUGAAAGCCCCGGGCUUAACCCGGGAAUAGCGCUUGAUACUGUGGGACUUGAGUCCGGGAGAGGAUAGUGGAAUUCCCAGUGUAGAGGUGAAAUUCGUAGAUAUUGGGAAGAACACCAGUGGCGAAGGCGGCUAUCUGGACCGGUACUGACGCUGAGGCGCGAAAGCGUGGGGAGCAAACAGG
rnacentral:rRNA from 1 species